UACAGAGGGUGCAAACGUUGCUCGGAAUCAUUGGGCGUAAAGCGCACGUAGGCGGCCUAGCAAGUAGGGAGUGAAAGCCCUCGGCUUAACUGAGGAAGUGCUUUCUAAACUACUAGGCUUGAAUACUGGAGAGGGUCGCGGAAUUCCCGGUGUAGAGGUGAAAUUCGUAGAUAUCGGGAGGAACACCUGUGGCGAAGGCGGCUUUCUGGGCCUUACCUGACGCUGAGACGCGAAAGCGUGGGGAGCGAACCGG
rnacentral:rRNA from 1 species